UAGUAUAUAGGGUUAAAGGAGGAAAGGCAUUUGUAGCGCUCAGCUUGUUUGAUGCAAGCCUGACCUGACCUUCCUCUCCGGUUCUCGUAUUUUUCUAUUUUCAUGUACUAUUGUCGUGAGAGCUUUUCAUGUGCUUGUCGCGGGAUUGUGUUUUUAUUUUUCUUCUCAUUGCUGUACUAUUGACCAAUUUACUGGUCUGAUUUCGUUGGGUAGCCCUCCUUAACAGAGUACCGGAUGUAUUUUAAUGUGAAUCUGCGGUUGAUUAAUGUAAUGCUCUCCUGUUUGACCGAUCCCCUGAGGACUGUCGUCGGCCCUGGGGGAGAAAGCUGGGUUUUUUAAAUUUUAUAUCAUCUGUGGUUUGGUUGGAUGUUCUACAAACCCAUGCCGUUUGCAAUCUCAGGUGCCAAUGCCAUGACCGAGUUUAUUAUCAGCUGCUGAGCACAUGAGCACAAAUGGCAGCUGAGGACAUGCCUGGGCAAUAUUGCCAACCUGUGAAAUGAAAUGUGGCUGAAGGAUUGCAGUUUCGGAGUACAAUGAGUCUGUUUGGAACGGGAGAUUUUCCUCGAUUCUUUAAUAUUUGAACCGGCUGGUGUGAAAUUUCUGCGAAAUUCGUGUUAAGCUACAAAUAGGAUUUGAGCUGUUCUUGUGAAAACUACUCUUGGAUCAAGUAUUGAGCAACAUUUUUUCUUACGACGGCGUUGCUCUUUUUUCUUACGAUGGCUCCAUGAAGGGAUGAGGUGAUAUGGGUUCCCUCUUCCCUCCAUGGCCGCUGCCUUCCACCGUUCGUCCUCUCCCGGCCGCUCGUCGCCGACCCCGGGAGCACCACCACGCGCCCCUCGCCGUUCCGUCCUCCUCGUCUCAUCACGUCCGUCUCCCUCCUCCCUCUUCUUCGCGCAGUGAGCUCCGUCUCACCCAAACUGACCUAGCCCGGGCGCACACGCCGGCGUCGAGGCGUGCCGUGCUCCGUCCAAGAACUGCCCCGGAAGCCGAUGCCGCGGCGGCCCUCAUGGUCGUCCGCGCGGAGGCCGGCGACUUCGCGCGGGCUCAGUCCAUCUGGGCGCAGCUCCUGCUCAGCUCCGCCGCGCCGUGCCUGGCCGCCGCAGCGCCCAGCCUCCUCCCGGCGUACGCGCGUCUCGGUCGCUACGACGAGGUCCUCCUCGCCGCGCGGGAGCUCUCCGCGCGCGACCCCGCCGCGGCGCGGGACCUCUACCCGCUCGCCGUCUCCUGCCUCGGCGCCGCCGGCGAGCUCGCCCUCAUGGAGGACGCCGUGCAGGAGAUGGCCCGCGCCGGCCUCCGCGUCGACUCCGCCACCGGCAACGCCUUCGUGCGGCACUACGCGGCCUCCGGCACCGUACCGGAGAUGGAGGCGGCGGUCGGCCGGCUCAAGAAGUCCGGCCUCCUCAUCUCCGUCGACGCCAUCCGCGCCGUCGCUUCAGCGUACAUCGCCAACCGGAAGUACUACAAGCUCGGCGAGUUCGUCAGGGGCGUCGGCCUCGGCCGCCGGGACGCCGGCAACCUGCUCUGGAACCUCUACCUCCUCUCCUUCGCGGCCAACUUCAAGAUGAAGUCGCUGCAGCGCGCCUUCCUGGAGAUGACCGCCGCCGGGUGCCGGCCGGACCUCACCACCUUCAACAUCCGCGCCGCCGCCUUCUCCAAGAUGUGCAUGUUCUGGGACCUCCACCUCACCGCCGAGCACAUGCGCCGCGACGGCGUCGCGCCGGACCUCGUCACGCACGGCUGCUUCGUGGACGCCUACAUGGAGCGCCGGCUCGCGCGCAACCUCUCCUUCGCGUUCCGCCGGCUGGACGGCUCAGGCGAGCCCGUGGUGGCCACGGACGGCGUCGUGUUCGAGGCGUUCGGCAAGGGGGGCUUCCACACCACCUCCGAGGGGCUGCUAGAGGCGGCCGGCGGGAAGCGGCGAUGGACGUACCACGACUUGCUCGGCGUCUACCUGAGGAAGCAGCACAGGAGAAACCAAAUCUUUUGGAACUACUGAUCUUCACCAGUACAGCACUGUUACACUAGUGCAACAAGGUAGUAGUACCAGAUGCUACGAUGUACAGGGAUGAUGUUAUGCUUAGAAACAAAAUCAUAGAUGUAAUGGAACUAUGGAAGAGUCUUUGUAAAGAUGAUUGUGCCAAAUUUGAUUUAUAAUCUCCCUAAAAAAUUACAGUACUCGCAUCAAUUGUUCGCUGAUUCUGAAAUGCCACCUGCUACAAAUCUACAAUCUGACAAUCCCAAAGAAAACCUAAAUAAUAAUAUUAUAUGUAACUCCCCUAAUUCUGAGUUUCAGAAUAUGCCACUCCAUGUGUCACUGAAAAGUGGGCAUGGGCCCUGCAUGUCAGUGAUCUUGAAGGGGUCACAUCAUGAAAUGCAACUUAAGAGGAGUGACAUUAAAAAUCAUUCAAACAAAGAUAAACUAUUACACUAGGUAGGAAGACAUUAUAUUCCAGCUAAUUUUCAUGUGCGCGGGCAACGGCGCGAUGAACCUUAGAAGAUUCGGCUUCUCCUUGGACCAUGGGGUGCCAUUAUCAUGCCACUCUCCGGUGUUACUCAGGAACUUUGCGAUGUUUGGGACCACCAUCUCCCGGCAAUGCAGGUGCAGCAAAGGGACUUUAGAGAGAACACUGCCCUUCUGAACCUCCAAGCCUUCAGGUCGCCUCAGCUUGUAUGGUUCCCCGGUGAACGGCUCAAAGUCCGGUUGGGGAUUCUGCUUCCACCUUUGGUGCACGAACCACCCAUAUUUGUAAUCUCCAACAAUGGGAGUGCCCAAGGCUUCCGCACAGUGCACUCGGAGCUGCAGCAGGGUCAGCAUAGUUUAGACUGGUGAUUUCAGUUGAAAUUUUCUAUUAUAUAUGUAAGGAUAUGUGAAUAUAUUCACCGUAUUACAAAACAAACUCAGGUGUUGAAGGGGUAAAUCGAAAGAUGAUGCAACAGGAUGUACGGUGUAUCCAUAAUACAAGUAUGUUAACAUCUUCGUAUAUUUUACAGAAAUGUAUUUCGCCAGUAAGAGUUAAUUAGGUACCGUGAGACUACCUGAUGCUUCCGGCCUGUCAAUGGGCGCAACUCAAUCCAGGAACAGCCAUUGAUGGUGGGUCCCAUCACUCGAUACUCAGUAACAGCCUCUUGUGCACCAUCUAUGCCAGAGGGAUGCGCCAGAAUGACCCUCUCAGCUUUUCCAUCAUCAAGAAGUACCUAGUUCAGUGAGAGACUAGGACAUGUGACAAAUCUUGCCAUUAAACAAAUGGAUCGUUACUACAUAUGAGUAUGACCUUAUCUAUGAAUCAUCUUAGUUCAAUCCGUGGAAAGGAGCCAGGGAUGCACCAACUGUGGUGGUUGAUGAGAGUGCUAAGAGCAUCUCCAAUAGGUGCCCUAUUUUAGGGCACCAAAAUGUGCUUGGAGUAAAAUUUACAACACCAAAAAGUGGUUUAUAGGGCACCGAAAAAUGUUCAUCUCCAACAGUUGCCCUAAAAUACAUCACGCUUGUCUUCUUGUGGGUGCCCUAUUUUAGGGCACCUGUUGAAACAACAGAGUGAUGUAAAACAGCUGUUUUCUUGUGGUCUUGCCUGGUCCCUGCUGCCCUAAAUUUUUUGCAACAGCAGCUGAUUUUGCAGCCGCCCUAUCCUUAGAGCAGCGUUUUUGCCCCCUCGUGCCCUAAAAAGCGUUUAUGCCCUAUUUUUGGGCACCUAUUGGAGAUGCAAAGAUGACUAGAUCUUCUAAAUGAUUCAAUGAUUUAAGUAACAUAAAACAUUAAAGGAUUCUAUAUUUCUUAAUAACCAAAUACUUUCCUUAGUAAGAUACAUGAUAUAAUACCUUUGUUAGAGGAGCAGAUAUAAUUCCUUCACUCUCUGUAGGGGUCCCAAUGACCAAUGCCCAGUACCUCUGCAAGUAUGAUUCACAGGCGGCAUUCCAUGCCUACAAGAUCCAUCAAUAAUACAAGACAUCAGUGGGCUAUCAUCGCAAAAAGGUGUGCCAAUCAAAAUCAUUUAGAUAUAAGCCCACUUGCCAAGUGGCAAAAUCAUGAAUUUAUGUUAACCUGCGAAGCUGUUCUUGCUAAUUUGAUGCUAGUGAAGAGCCAGUGCAGCCGGGUAAAGCUUUCUCUUGUUCUCCCCAUCAACAGCAAACCACUAGUAUCUCUGUCCAGUCGAUGGACCUGCACUCACAAACCGCAGGAAGAAAAUCAUGAGAGAGAGAGCUUAAGACAACACAUAGCGUCCCAAAAUAAAGAGAAACAAUCUAACCAAUUUUGGACCCUCUUCAUUCCCAUAUGACAGUGCUGCUGCUGCAAGCACAUCCAUACUGUUAUGUACUGGUAAAUUCCCCUUCAUGGGCACUUUUGGAGGCUUGUUAAGCACAAGUAUGGCUGAGUCCUAUAAUUUAGAAAGUUCAGCAUACUAUGAGGAAUCUGAAUAAGGAAAAUUAAAUAACCAAACCCUAGAUGACACCUUUGAAAUAUCAAUAAGUAACUUGUGAAUGGCAUUUUUUACAGUAUUGUGGAAGUAAUAUAAUAUGUAGACGGACACUUGAUUUAUACAUAUCAUAAUCCUGUAUGUGCAAGUUAAUUUACUGUACAGAAGGUCAGAGGCUUACACAACUGCCCACAAAAAAAGCAUUUGUUACGGCAGCAAUCAUGCAAGAAACUAAUCAGAGUACAACAUAGAAUGAUAGUUUACCUUGUAGAUGACAAGCCUUUUCAGGUACUCAAUCUCAUCCCUGUUGGGAUGCAGUGUGGCAGUUGGAAUGGUCUGGUACCGCUUCUUUAUCUCAGCCUCAGCCACAGACACAGGAAGAUGAAUUCUCAUGCCAGGCUCCAUCACUUCAGAAUGCUUGAUCUGCAACGAACUGCUGAGCAUAUUUACUUCACUCACGUAGUAAAUAACAUUUCACUAAAAGAUCUCCAGAAAAUACAGCAUCAAUUCUUCAUUACAUACCUUCUUCAAAUGAUGCUUCCGGCACCAAAUGCUCUCUGCUGAAACCUCCUGAUCUGAGCACUCAGUGUAAACCUGAUAACAGAUAGCAGGGCUUUUCAUGUCAGAUUGAAAACAAUGCCUACAUGCAGUGUAAACUGGUAGUGAAAUGAUAGAAACUAAAGCAAAAUAUACCAAAGCGAAUCAAUCAAUGGCUCAUUGGAGAAAAACAUUGCGAUCAUUAACUGAAUUCAUCACAAUUAAUCAAUCAUGGUACCUAAGCAUGAAAGCAGCUACAUCAUUUCGCCACUAGAAUAGCCUACACUUUUAACAAGAAAUUCACAUUUGAGAACAACGCAAUCCCAUUCUUAUCGUGUGUUAACACUAACUGAAAAAAAUAGUGCAAUCUUUUCAUUAAUAAGACCGCAGAUGAUAACAGGGCCGGUAUAGAGUGCGGAGGCGUGGCACCCGUAGUAAUACGCAUACGCACCUGCCUCUUGUUGAAGUGCGCCUGCACGACCUCCUGCGGCACGUCGGCGAAACAGUGCUUCACCCAGCUGACCGCCGUCACGCGGCGAGGUGCCACGUUCCUCCCGGGGAGCGGGUCGGCCCCGGCGGGGAACGGCGGCAGGGAGAGCAGCUGCCGCGGCCUCGGCCCGGGCUUGGGCGCGCCGAGGCGGGCCACGUUGUUGCUGUCCACGCGCACCACCGCCGCGGGCGCGGGCGGCGCCAGCCGCGACAGCCCCCGCCUUGCCGCCGGCCAUGGCCACGUCCCCAGGCGGCGCCGCAGCAUCCUCCUCCGAGCCGUGCUGUGGUGGUGGACACUGGCCCGCAGCGGCCAGAUAAAUUACAUAACUGGGCCGUCCUGACCCCCAGACCCGUGAAGGCCCGUAAAGCCGAACUCAAUCUUGCACGGCCCGGCGCGAGGGCAGGCCCGAUACGCUGAUAUCUCGAUAUAUCCUGACUGGCUGUCGCUGACUCAGACUGUGGCAGAGUAUUAUUGGUGGGCCUACAGGUAAUCGCCUCGGGAAACGUACAAUGAUGGUCUUCCGCUUGUUCAACUAGCAAAUACCCCGCGCGUUGCAGCGUGACUUUAUUGCAAAUAAUUUCUUUUAAUAUUAACAGGACAAAAUUGAAAACAUUGGAUGCAUUUGUCCUCUUUGGUAAGAAGAAAAUGUCCAAAUUGAUAGAUCAUGUGGCUAGUAAACUGAUUUUAUAGAUGAGCAUGUGGAGAAAGGCAUGACUCAUAUAUUGGUUCAUGAAAUACACCAAAAUUACUCACAAAAAGUUAGUAUUGUGGAAGUAAUGAAAUGCUUUUCUCCAAAGAUCUACUUGGUGAUGGGAUUAUAGUGACUUGAAUAGUUGGAUGCCAGGAAUUCUACCAAACUGCUGAAGGUCAGCUUGCCAUAGAAAGCUACCAUUGCCGUAACAGAAGGUCGUCGCUGGAGGGAGACAAAAUGUUGAUGAAUAUGCAAUCGCCCCCACCGGAUGCUCAUUGCAGGAGCUGGACCGAGCACUUCUCAGAGUAUUGGCUUUCAACCUACACACCAUGGCCGAGGACCUCACCGGCGUCGCCACCAAGUUCUUUUUCCAGGCCACAGAAAAGCUUGCGUCCCCAGCAGUGACGGACCUAGCUACGCCGUAUGGAGACAGAGAUGGCAAGCGAGGAGGAAAGACAAAGCAACACCACAUGUCAGGCGGGCUCGCGGUCGGGCACCGUCGAAGGCGACUGGUUAGCGGUCGUCCUGCAGGAGCCUACUGGACAGGUGACUUAAACUUGAGAGAAACUCGGAGAGCCGUCGGAGGUGAGGCGUUCGUGACGGAGUCGGGGAGCCGGCAGGGACAAGGCAAAGCCGGAUGAGCCAUCUAAGGUGAGGCCUACCGACGAUCGUGCCGGGACGGAGGCGAGCGGACCGGUGGUGAGCUGUGUCUUGGAUCUUGGCGUCGUAGUGCCUUGAGCUGAGGUCAGAGGCAGCUUUGAGACAAAGGGUGGGUGCAACUGAGGGAGAGAUUGACGCGGGUGAAGCUGGAGAGAGCCAGCGAAGGCAGCCGGACUGUCGGUCCUGCCGGAGGAGCUCAAUGACACGGAGAUCGGUUCCCGUAAGCCGCACCCUACUGCAGUCGUCAGGGGAACGAUUGGUGUUCUUUAUUGAUUUUUCUAUAACGAAGAAGAGGAGUCGAUCGGUUUAGAGAGGGGUAGUAGAUCGUCUUGUCUUUUUCGAGGGAGAGAGAGCGUCCGUUGUUUACGGCUGGAAACAGAGAGAGGGUCUUCAAUACAGUAUUUGUAAAAAACAAAAAUGGUCUUCAAUUACUUUAUAAGUACCCUAGUAACAGAACACAUGCAUGACGUCAUACUAUUAGGGCUGAAAGUGCUAAUGUGGCAAGCUUGCUGAGGUGUAUAGUCUGCAUGUUAAGAGAAAUAGGUUAUUGGGGAUGAAUUAGGUAUUAUAGAUUUGUAGUUCUCCCGCUCUCAAAAAAUAAGGGGAAAACUUGAAUAUCUCUAUGGUUUGCAGGAUAUGAACCCGGUCUCUGUCUUCGAAAAUGCCACCGUCCCGAAAAUCCCAGGAAAAACCCCUGACGCAAAUGUACAAAAAACUCGCACACGAACGUGUAAAACAUACGGAGAAACUCCCAAAAAUACAUGCAACGUAGCACCGAAAAUGUUCACAUCACUCUUUUUUCCCCCUUUUUUUGUGAAGAAAUGUUCACAUCACGCGAGACCAGAACAAUGCACGUCGAAAACGUGCAGCAAGCUAGCCGAGCGUCGCACAACAUGUAGAAAUAUGUCAAAAAAAAGUGGACACUGCAGAAUAAAUACACCUCCUCCUUUCCGCCGUGGAACCGUAGACGACGGCCGAUUCUUUCCGACGCCACGUCGUGAAUCGCCGUUCUUCCUUCCCCAUUCCGCGCCUCUGUUUGCCGCUGUCCGGGGCUCCACCCAUGGGCGUCGAGGAUGGCUUUCGCGGCAACAAGCUCGCGCUCGCCAGCAUCGGCUUCGCCCAAGUCCGCGCCGGCGUGUUCAAGGACGACGGACUGCUCGGGGUGGGGCUGCCCAAGGACGGCUACCUCGACGGGGACGUAGCAGUCAGGCUCAGCCCGCCGGACGUCGGCGCCGCCGUCAGGGUAAGGAGCCGCAGAUCCCAGCGUCUCGGGUAGCCGUGUGUGCGGUUGAUGCAAAUUGGGACGGUUUACGGCUUCGUUUGGAGGCAUUGUUGUGCUUUUUUUCUAAAAAAAAUUUGGAAAUUGCUGUGCUUGCUUGUUUGUUCUGAUGCAUUUCGCACUUCGCGAUUUUUCGUCAGUAACUGUUCAUAGUGUUUCUGCUGAAGCUUCUCUUUGUCAGGGUUUCAGAACGUCCACUUGCUUCAAAUUUGAACUCCCCUGAUCUGUUUCGCUCUCUUUUAAUUGUAUGUUAUGAUAGUAUAACAGUCACUGCAAUUCCUUGUUUUUACUAGUAUGACUCCAUGGCUGAUAUAUAUCUUAUGAUUUAGGAUUAGCUUUGUAGUUUGAUGUGUGCAUCUUUCUAUUUCCCAUUGACAUGUGUUGUUGUGUUUUUCGAGAGUACGCCAAUGGCGUACCAUAUUUUUAUAAAAGGCAGAAAGUUAUAAUUACAAGAUACCAAGCCGGGAUGCGAACAUCCUGACUGGUAGAAACCCCACCCACACCAGCUACAACAAACUAGGUCACUCUUUCACGAAAGGGUCUAACCUCCAACACCAAAACCAGCUAGCCUCCACUCCUUAACCUCUAGCAACACUUGAUCUACCGGCUACGGUGGAGACCUAUGCUCGUGCACUGAUGGAACACCCUGGCAUUCCGCUGCUUCCACAACGACCAAGCGGUCGCAAUCACGAAAGAGUCGAAACCACGCUUUGUUUUGCCUGUGAAGUUCCUUCUCUUAUCGAGCCACCAGUCUGUGAAUGUGUCUGUCUGAAUGGGUGGCUGGAUGUUAAUCUGCAAAACCUCGAAGCACCGGUGCCACACUUCUCUGGCGUACGGGCAUUGCGUGAGGAUGUGGUCCACGUUAUCCUCUUCCUGUAAACAGGUGAAACAAGGCGAUGGAGCAUCCUGCAGCCCGUGUCUCGCCCUCCGAUCAGAAGUCCAUAGUCGAUACUGCACGGUGAGCCAAGCAAAGAUUUUACAACGCAACGGUGCCCAGCUCCUCCAAAUGCCACCCGCCGUCGGCGAUCUGGUUAAUCCCAUGCACAAUCUUGAGUAGGUCGAUUUUGCCGUGUAGAUACCUUUAUCAUCCGCAGGCCAGUAGAACAUGCCAGUUUGCUCCUCGUUCCUGUCCACUGUGGUGAUCGCGUGGCAAAGGUUAGCCACUUGAAUGUGGGCCAUAAAAGAGAUGUCACUAUGCACGUCCUAGACCAAGCGUUGUUGAUGAGAGCCUGUUGCACUGUCCUGGUGUUGCGAGCGCGGGUGCUGACAAGCUCAAUGAUAGUUGGAGCGAUCUCCCCAACCGUGAAACCAUGUAUCCAUCUAUCCUUCCAGAAUAGGAUCCUCUCUCCAUUGCCCACCUCAAUUUUCACCAGACUGUUGAACACCAUCUUGGCUUCCUUAUCUUCGAUCAUCGGGAUACCUUGCCAGGGCCUACUGUGGUCCACUCUCCUCAGCCAUUCCCACCUUACGCGUAAAGCCAACGCUUGCAACUGAAGAUUUUUCACUCCAAGCCCUCCAAGGCAAGUGGGGUGGGCUAUGUCGACAUGUGUUGUGAGUUUUUUUACAUCAGAACCCAAGAACCUUAAUUUCUAACGCAGACUUUGCUGAGGCGUCGAGAAAUUGCAGAAUUCGUUAGCGGGGCAAUGGCUGGUGCUAUGACUAAAGCCGUUCUUGCUCCUCUAGAAACCAUCAGGUAUUCAGUUUUCUUUCAUGCAUACUUUCAUUUUACCCAUUCUAGUUUGUUUGCAUGUUCUAAACCCUCUAAAUAACAAGCAGGGACACCAUAAUGUCUGAUUGUUUUCAGGACAAGAAUGGUUGUCGGUGUAGGGUCAAAACAGAUUUUUGGCAGUUUCAUGGAGAUCAUGGAACACAAUGGCUGGCAAGGACUCUGGGCAGGCAACACGAUUAACAUGAUCCGCAUCAUUCCUACUCAAGCAAUCGAGCUCGACACAUUCGAGUGCGUCAAAUGGAGCAUGACGUCGGCACAAGAGAGAUGGAAAGAGGAUAGCUCCCCAAAGAUACAGCUCGGCGGUUUGACGAUCGAGCUGCCUCUUCACCUGCUAUCUCCAAUCGCCGUUGGAGGUGCAGCUGCUGGGAUAGUUAGCACUUUAGUGUGCCAUCCCCUUGAGGUCCUCAAGGUACAUCAGAUCUGGCUCCGUAUUAACUAACUACAAUGAUACUAACAAAUUUGAUGGUUACUAUCGAUGAUAAACUACCUGUGGCUUAAAUAAAUUGUGUAAUGUGCUGUCUGUUUCCAAAUCAGCAGGAGAUACUGACAAACUUUGUAGCAAUAUCUUUGCAUUUGAUGUGAAUGUGAUGGUAUUUUAUAUACUUGUGCUGGCAAACCAUUUGCCAAUUCAUUGAUGUUCUAAGCUCUGUCUCAGGAUCGCCUGAUUGUUAACCGCGAGGCGUAUCCCAGUAGCAUCGCCCUUGCGUUCAACAAGAUCUACCGAACCGAAGGCGUCGGUGGUCUCUACACUGGCCUGUGCCCGACGCCGGUCGGGAUUCUCCCUUACAGCACAUGCUACUACUUCAUGUACGAGACGAUCAAGACCUCUUACUGCCGUGCACAUGAGAAGAA
rnacentral:lncRNA from 1 species